UCCGUAGCUUGAUUCACAAGUCCCUUGAGAAAUCCAUCGGCUUAACUGAUGGGCGUUCAGGGGAUACUGUGGUUCUAGGGACCGGGAGAGGUGAGAGGUACUGCCGGGGUAGGAGUGAAAUCCUGUAAUCCCGGUGGGACGACCUAUGGCGAAGGCAUCUCACCAGAACGGCUCCGACAGUGAGGGACGAAAGCUGGGGGGAGCAAACCG
rnacentral:rRNA from 1 species